UAGGGAAUCUUCCGCAAUGGACGAAAGUCUGACGGAGCAACGCCGCGUGAGUGAAGAAGGAUUUCGGUUCGUAAAACUCUGUUGUUAGGGAAGAAAAAAUGUAUAGUAACUAUAUAAAAAGAGACGGUACCUAACCAGAAAGCCACGGCUAACUACGUGCCAGCAGCCGCGGUAAUACGUAGGUGGCAAGCGUUGUCCGGAAUUAUUGGGCGUAAAGCGCGCGCAGGUGGUUUAGAAAGUCUGAUGUGAAAGCCCACGGCUCAACCGUGGAGGGUCAUUGGAAACUAAUAAACUUGAGUGCAGGAGAGAAAAGUGGAAUUCCUAGUGUAGCGAUGAAAUGCGUAGAGAUUAGGAGGAACACCGGUGGCGAAAGCGGCUUUUUGGCCUGCAACUGACACUGAGGCGCGAAAGCGUGGGGAGCAAACAGG
rnacentral:rRNA from 1 species